rnacentral:rRNA from 1 species
AGGGGCAGCGGAGUAGCAAUACUUGCCGGCGACCGGCGCACGGGUGACGUAACACGUAUACAAUCUAACCUAAACGUGGAGGAUACGCCGAAGAAUUCGGAUUAAUACUCAUACAUUGCGAGAUGGCAUCAUUUUGCAAUUAAAGCUCCGGCGGUUUUGGAUGAGUAUGCGUUCGAUUAGCUAGUUGGUGAGGUAACGGCCCACCAAGGCAACGAUCGAUAGGGGUACUGAGAGGUUACACCCCCACACUGGUACUGAGACACGGACCAGACUCC